ACGCACGGAGGUUUGCUUGCAAGGCGAGUGACGGUUAUCAGUCGGUAGGUCGCAUUGGGGGUUCGCGGUGGCGGGGAUUGGCCUCGACGAACCCAGUCACCGUCGACAACAUUGGGCGACGGCGGCGAUUGGCCUCGACGAACCCAAUCACCGUCGGUCGAUAACAUUGCGCGACGGCGGCGAUUGGCCUCGACGAACCCAAUCUUCUUCGGCUGACUCUCGAUCGAUCUAAAUUUUCCUACAUAUGCGCUCGAAGAUGAUUUUGGGCAAUCAAGGAGUUGUGGAUUGUUGUUGCUGUUAUGGUUGAACAGCCGAUUCACCGUCUGUGGCAUCGGCUUUGUGACGAUGAGUCGUUUGCGAGAAUGCCUGGCUACCAUUUCGUAGUGGGAAUUUGUCGCGCUCUCUCUGUUUGACUGCUUCAUGUGUUUCGACUGGAAUCACAAAAUAGCUUCCUUUGUUUGAUUGCAUGAUCUGUUUUGAGUAGAACCACAGUAUUGUGAGAGGAAACUGAAGUCAUUUGAAAUAGUAGUAUUUUCUGAGGCAGUGAUUCCAUGCACAGAGUUUGACGACAAACAAAUGGACAGAGACUCCUUGUUUCUAUAGGAGGAUGAGAAAGUGAGGGAAAGGGCUGAAGGUAUAUGUCCCUGAUCGAUCAACUAGUUGAGCAUUUCAACCAUCUCGAGAAGAGAAUCCAAGAGCAAUAGUAAUGAGUACAUUAACCAUUUUCUCAUACACUUGUCUUGUUCUUGGGGUCAACCAUUAACCUCAAUGUAGAGCUGUUGAGUUUUAUUUUUAAUGAGUCAUGCAGUGAUUGAUUCUAUAUGUAAUGCAAAAACAAUUUAUAUUAGGAUUGAAAUCAAAUAACAUUAGAUCGAUUUUACGA